rnacentral:rRNA from 1 species
GACGAACGCUGGCGGCGUGCUUAACACAUGCAAGUCGAACGGGUCUGCCCUGUUUUUUGCGGGGUGGGUCAGUGGCGAACGGGUGGGUAACACGUGAGUAACCUGCCCCUCACUUCUGGAUAACCGCUUGAAAGGGUGGCUAAUACGGGGUGUUCUGGCUGUGCCGCAUGGUGUGGCUGGGAAAGAUUCACUUUUGUGGUGUUUUGGUGGGGGAUGGGCUCGCGGCCUAUCAGCUUGUUGGUGGGGUGAUGGCCUGCCAAGGCUUUGACGGGUAGCCGGCCUGAGAGGGUGGGCGGUCACACUGGGACUGAGAUACGGCCCAGACUCCUGCGGGAGGCAGCAGUGGGGGGUAUUGCACAAUGGGCGGAAGCCUGAUGCAGCGACGUCGCGUGAGGGAUGGAGGCCUUCGGGUUGUGAACCUCUUUCGCCGGUGAAGAAGGUCCUGCUCUUUGUGGUGGGGUUGACGGUAGCCGGGUUAUGAAGCGCCGGCUAACUACGUG